rnacentral:rRNA from 1 species
GAUGAACGCUGGCGGCGUGCCUAAUACAUGCAAGUCGAGCGAACGGACGAGAAGCUUGCUUCUCUGAUGUUAGCGGCGGACGGGUGAGUAACACGUGGAUAACCUACCUAUAAGACUGGGAUAACUUCGGGAAACCGGAGCUAAUACCGGAUAAUAUUUUGAACCGCAUGGUUCAAAAGUGAAAGACGGUCUUGCUGUCACUUAUAGAUGGAUCCGCGCUGCAUUAGCUAGUUGGUAAGGUAACGGCUUACCAAGGCAACGAUGCAUAGCCGACCUGAGAGGGUGAUCGGCCACACUGGAACUGAGACACGGUCCAGACUCCUACGGGAGGCAGCAGUAGGGAAUCUUCCGCAAUGGGCGAAAGCCUGACGGAGCAACGCCGCGUGAGUGAUGAAGGUCUUCGGAUCGUAAAACUCUGUUAUUAGGGAAGAACAUAUGUGUAAGUAACUGUGCACAUCUUGACGGUACCUAAUCAGAAAGCCACGGCUAACUACGUGCCAGCAGCCGCGGUAAUACGUAGGUGGCAAGCGUUAUCCGGAAUUAUUGGGCGUAAAGCGCGCGUAGGCGGUUUUUUAAGUCUGAUGUGAAAGCCCACGGCUCAACCCGUGGAGGGUCAUUGGAAACUGGAAAACUUGAGUGCAGAAGAGGAAAGUGGAAUUCCAUGUGUAGCGGUGGAAUGCGCAGAGAUAUGGAGGAACACCAGUGGCGAAGGCGACUUUCUGGUCUGUAACUGACGCUGAUGUGCGAAAGCGUGGGGAUCAAACAGGAUUAGAUACCCUGGUAGUCCACGCCGUAAACGAUGAGUGCUAAGUGUUAGGGGGUUUCCGCCCCUUAGUGCUGCAGCUAACGCAUUAAGCACUCCGCCUGGGGAGUACGACCGCAAGGUUGAAACUCAAAGGAAUUGACGGGGACCCGCACAAGCGGUGGAGCAUGUGGUUUAAUUCGAAGCAACGCGAAGAACCUUACCAAAUCUUGACAUCCUUUGACAACUCUAGAGAUAGAGCCUUCCCCUUCGGGGGACAAAGUGACAGGUGGUGCAUGGUUGUCGUCAGCUCGUGUCGUGAGAUGUUGGGUUAAGUCCCGCAACGAGCGCAACCCUUAAGCUUAGUUGCCAUCAUUAAGUUGGGCACUCUAAGUUGACUGCCGGUGACAAACCGGAGGAAGGUGGGGAUGACGUCAAAUCAUCAUGCCCCUUAUGAUUUGGGCUACACACGUGCUACAAUGGACAAUACAAAGGGCAGCGAAACCGCGAGGUCAAGCAAAUCCCAUAAAGUUGUUCUCAGUUCGGAUUGUAGUCUGCAACUCGACUACAUGAAGCUGGAAUCGCUAGUAAUCGUAGAUCAGCAUGCUACGGUGAAUACGUUCCCGGGUCU